CCUCUCUCUAUCUCUCGCUCUCUCAGCAGCCGCUUCAAUUUUCAGAUGAAAUCCUAGAUCAAAACACUCUCUAUCUCUUUCUCUUUCAUUGAUUUUUGUUUGACUGUGAUAGAUUUUGGCUUGAUUGUUUGUACAUUGGGUAUGAGUUUGAAGGUCUUCCUCUCGGAUUCUAAGUUUGAGGGUUUUCCAUCUUCGUGAAAGCCGAUCGCCCAAAGUAUCGAAACCACGACAAUAUGUGCUAAAUGACAAAGGUUAGGUUUCAAUCUUCUAAGUUAUUUGCAUAACAGUAUAGAAUGACAUAAUGACAUAGAAAAUCUCAUAAAAUUGUGUGGUGUUGGCAGACUGGCAGCUGGUGGCUAGGUUGUAGUUUGUAGUCUCUUUAGAUGAAUUUUGCCUUUUGAUCAUUUCACGCAUUUAAGUCAUUUGUAAAUUCUUCAAUUUCAUUUGUAAUUCUAGUUGUAAUUUUGUUUGUAAUUUAAUUCUUCAAUUUGAUUUGUAAUUCUGUUUGUUUUUGUUUGUCAUUUAAUUUGUUUUCUUCCAUUUGAAGUUGAUUGUAAUUUGGAAGGCCUAAUUUCAUGUUUUUAUAAUUUCUGCAAUAAGCAAGUUCUUAUUUUU